rnacentral:rRNA from 1 species
UACGGAGGGGUCAAGCGUUAUUCGGAUUCACUGGGCGUAAAGGGCGCGUAGGCGGGAUCGUAGGUCGGUCGUGAAAUCCACCGGCUCAACCGGUGAACUGCGCUCGAAACUGCGAUUCUUGAGGUAGGUAGAGGAAGGCGGAAUUCCUGGUGUAGCGGUGGAAUGCGUAGAUAUCAGGAAGAACACCGGUAGCGAAGGCGGCCUUCUGGGCCUCACCUGACGCUGAGGCGCGAAAGCUGGGGGAGCGAACAGGAUUAGAUACCCUCGUA